UACGGGGGGGGCAAGCGUUGUUCGGAAUUACUGGGCGUAAAGGGCCAGUAGGCGGCCAACUAAGUCGGAUGUGAAAUCCCCAGGCUUAACCUGGGAACUGCAUCCGAUACUGGAUGGCUUGAAUUCGGGAGAGGGAUGCGGAAUUCCAGGUGUAGCGGUGAAAUGCGUAGAUAUCUGGAGGAAUACCGGUGGCGAAGGCGGCAUCCUGGACCGAGAUUGACACUAAAGCGCGAAAGCCAGGGGAGCAAACGGG
rnacentral:rRNA from 1 species